rnacentral:rRNA from 1 species
CCUACGGGAGGCAGCAGUGAGGAAUAUUGGUCAAUGGGCGCAAGCCUGAACCAGCCAAGUCGCGUGAGGGAUGACGGUCCUAUGGAUUGUAAACCUCUUUUGUCGGGGAGCAAGGCCCGCCACGUGUGGCGGGAAGGAGAGUACCCGAAGAAAAAGCAUCGGCUAACUCCGUGCCAGCAGGCGCGGUAAUUCGGAGGUUGCGAGCGUUAUCCGGAUUUAUUGGGGUUAAAGGGUGCGUAGGCGGAAGGUUAAGUCAGCGGUAAAAUGUCGGUGCUCAACACCGGCCUGCCGUUGAAACUGGUCUUCUUGAGUGAGCGAGAGGUAUGCGGAAUGCGUGGUGUAGCGGUGAAAUGCAUAGAUAUCACGCAGAACUCCGAUUGCGAAGGCAGCAUACCGGCGCUCAACUGACGCUGAGGCACGAAAGCGUGGGGAUCGAACAGGAUUAGAUACCCUUGUAGUC